rnacentral:misc_RNA from 1 species
UACGGAGGGUCCAAGCGUUAUCCGGAGUCAUUGGGCUUAAAGGGUCCGUAGGCGGGAUAAUAAGUCAGUGGUGAAAGUCUGCAGCUUAACUGUAGAAUUGCAAUUGAUACUGUUGUUCUUGAGUGUUUAUGAAGUGGUUAGAAUAUGUAGUGUAGCGGUGAAAUGCAUAGAUAUUACAUAGAAUACCGAUUGCGAAGGCAGAUCACUAAUAAUUUACUGACGCUGAUGGGCGAAAGCGUGGGUAGCGAACAGG